rnacentral:rRNA from 1 species
CCUACGGUGGGCAGCAGUGGGGAAUAUUGCGCAAUGGGGGCAACCCUGACGCAGCCAUGCCGCGUGAAUGAAGAAGGCCUUCGGGUUGUAAAGUUCUUUCGGUAUUGAGGAAGGUUGAUGUGUUAAUAGUACAUCAAAUUGACGUUAAAUACAGAAGAAGCACCGGCUAACUCCGUGCCAGCAGCCGCGGUAAUACGGAGGGUGCGAGCGUUAAUCGGAAUAACUGGGCGUAAAGGGCACGCAGGCGGUUAUUUAAGUGAGGUGUGAAAGCCCCGGGCUUAACCUGGGAAUUGCAUUUCAGAUGGGGUAACUAGUACUUUAGGGAGGGGUAGAAUUCCACGUGUAGCGGUGAAAUGCGUAGAGAUGUGGAGGAAUACCGAAGGCGAAGGCAGCCCCUUGGGAAUGUACUGACGCUCAUGUGCGAAAGCGUGGGGAGCAAACAGGAUUAGAUACCCCAGUAGUC